CCCUUAGACGUUCUGGGCCGCACGCGCGCUACACUGACACAGGCAACGAGCUUUCCUUUACCGAAAGGUAUGGGUAAUCUUUUGAAACUGUGUCGUGCUGGGGAUAGAUCCUUGCAAUUUUUGAUCUUAAACGAGGAAUUCCUAGUAAGCGCGAGUCAUCAACUCGCGUUGAUUACGUCCCUGCCCUUUGUACACACCGCCCGUCGCUACUACCGAUUGAAUGGCUUAGUGAGGCCUCAGGAUCCGCGCUUAAUGUGUGGAGAAUUUGGACAAACUACGUCAUCUAGAGGAAGUAAAAGUCGUAACA
rnacentral:rRNA from 1 species